AGCCUCUUUAUCAUGAGGUGAGCCCACGUGUGAAGCCUGCCACCCCUUGGUUUCUAUUGGGAGGACAGAUGCCAGAGUCAGCUGCAGAUGGACAGCCCUGGAAUUGGUCCUGAAUGCAGAGGAUGUUGGGCGAUGUGGCCACAUGUGCACGGAAGCGUUUAGAUGCCGUCCAG